GGACACUUAGCAACCACGGUUGAUGCACUUGUCUGAAGAACAAGAUAACAAGGUUCGACUCCUUGAGUGUCCACCA
rnacentral:tRNA from 1 species